rnacentral:rRNA from 1 species
GGGGAAUAUUGGACAAUGGGGGGAACCCUGAUCCAGCCAUGCCGCGUGUGUGAAGAAGGCCUUAUGGUUGUAAAGCACUUUAAGCGAGGAGGAGGCUCUUUUGGUUAAUACCCAAGAUGAGUGGACGUUACUCGCAGAAUACGCACCGGCUAACUCUGUGCCAGCAGCCGCGGUAAUACGGAGGAUGCGAGCGUUAUCCGGAUUUAUUGGGUUUAAAGGGUGCGCAGGCGGGCUUUUAAGUCAGCGGUGAAAUCUGGACGCUUAACGUCCAAACUGCCGUUGAAACUGGGAGUCUUGAGUAUGGAUGAAGUAGGCGGAAUUCGUUGUGUAGCGGUGACAUGCAUAGAUAUAACGAGGAACUCCGAUUGCGUAGGCAGCUUACUAAGCCAUAACUGACGCUCAUGCACGAAAGCGUGGGGAUCAAACA